UUAAUUAUAGCUAAAAUAAGCAAUAUCACUGUUAAUGAUAAGAUAAGUUAAAGACUUUAAUUAAG
rnacentral:tRNA from 1 species